UAACACAUGCAAGUCGUACGCUUCACUUACGGUGGGGCGUGGCGCACGGGUGAGUAACGCGUGGGAACGUGCCCUGGGGCCGGGAAUAACAGCGGGAAACUGCUGCUAAUACCCGGUACGCCCUGUGGGGGAAAGGAGCAAUCCGCCCUGGGAGCGGCCCGCGUUGGAUUAGCUAGUUGGUGGGGUAAGAGCCUACCAAGGCUUCGAUCCAUAGCUGGUCUGAGAGGAUGAUCAGCCACACUGGGACUGAGACACGGCCCAGACUCCUACGGGAGGCAGCAGUGGGGAAUAUUGGACAAUGGGCGCAAGCCUGAUCCAGCCAUGCCGCGUGAGUGAAGAAGGCCCUAGGGUUGUAAAGCUCUUUCGCACGCGACGAUGAUGACGGUAGCGUGAGAAGAAGCCCCGGCUAACUUCGUGCCAGCAGCCGCGGUAAUACGAAGGGGGCAAGCGUUGUUCGGAAUUACUGGGCGUAAAGGGCGCGUAGGCGGGCAUCCAAGUCAGAGGUGAAAGCCCUGGGCUCAACCCGGGAACUGCCUUUGAAACUGGACGUCUUGAGUAUGGGAGA
rnacentral:rRNA from 1 species